AACGCGAAGAACCUUACCCAGGUUUGACAUGCAGUGGACAGGCACAGAGAUGUGCCCUCUCUUCGGAGCCGCUGCACAGGUGCUGCAUGGCUGUCGUCAGCUCGUGCCGUGAGGUGUUGGGUUAAGUCCCGCAACGAGCGCAACCCUUAUCAUUAGUUGCCAACGCGUAAUGGCGGGAACUCUAGUGAGACUGCCCGGGUUAACCGGGAGGAAGGUGAGGAUGACGUCAAGUCCGCAUGGCCCUUAUAUCUGGGGCUACACACGUUCUACAAUGGUCGGUACAAAAGGAAGCUAAACCGCGAGGUCAUGCAAAUCCCCAAAGCCGAUCCCAGUUCAGAUUGUAGUCUGCAACUCGACUACAUGAAGUUGGAAUUGCUAGUAAUGGCGAGUCAGCACAUCGCCGUGAAUACGUUCCCGGGCCUUGUACACACCGGAGUA
rnacentral:rRNA from 1 species